rnacentral:rRNA from 1 species
GCGAGGCCGAAAGGCGUAGUCGAUGGGAAACGGGUUAAUAUUCCCGUACUUCUUACAAUUGCGAUGGGGGGACGGAGAAGGCUAGGUGGGCCUGGCGACGGUUGUCCAGGUUCAAGUGCGUAGGCUUAAGAGUUAGGUAAAUCCGGCUCUUUCUAAGGCUGAGACACGACGUCGAGCACCUACGGGUGUGAAGUCAUUGAUGCCAUGCUUCCAGGAAAAGCCUCUAAGCUUCAGAUUGUAAGGAAUCGUACCCCAAACCGACACAGGUGGUCGGGUAGAGAAUACCAAGGCGCUUGAGAGAACUCGGGUGAAGGAACUAGGCAAAAUGGUACCGUAACUUCGGGAGAAGGUACGCUCU